GUAAGAUGUUUUAGUUUGUUAAGCAACUCGUCGAGACGGUGGUAAAUUUGUUGUAACUUAGGACUUGAUUUCAUUUCAUCAGACAAACCUUCCUUAGUUUUGGCAUCCUCAAGAAAACUAAAGCAUUCUUCAAGUAUACCGUUACACAGCUCUUGACCUUGUAAGGGAACAUGGUCAGCGUCACAAAACAUCCCAUUAGAAUCCUUCAUUUCUUCAAUUUCCUUCAAUUGUUCCAUUGUCCGGUCAAUAAAUCCAGGGUCAGAUGUAGGACGAACGGCAAAACCAUCAAUUUGACGAUGAAUAGAAACCAAACGAGUUUGAAUACCUAUAAGCUCUGGUGAAAUCUUUGAAAUGUUAUGUUGGGCUUCACUAUAAUUUCUAUCACAAACAGCAAGUUUGUUAUUCAGGUAUUUUACAACAACUGGAGAAGCAUCCUCUUUUUUAGAUCCCUCAACGAUUGCAGCCCUAAUUCGUUCCAACCUUUCUUUGAGAGGCUUAAGGUCAUUCUGCGUAUAGCAGGCACCUUCUAAAUUAUACUCUAAAAGCCUUCUAACAGUUCCCAAUUGUACGAAAAAAGCAGGCAAGUCGUUGUUACGUCCAAUCGCUAGAUAAAAUAAAGAUAAUAGGUGCAAACAAUCUUCUAACUGUGAAUCAACAAUAGUUCGAGUGCUAUUCGUCGAUCGUCUAGAGUCCAAUAAAUUCACUAUAAUGAAACUUAGUUAGCAAAAAUUUGUUUAAAUUUCAAAAUUUUGAGCCAAAUAUUUAUCCCACAGAUGACCAUUCAUUCAUCCAUAUGCAUCCAUAAUUUGACACAAAUAUUAGCGAAUUACAUACUCUGUUCCACUAAUUCAUCUUUCAGAUGAAAAACCUCAUUUUUCUCAAUGAAUCUCGUACGAUCUCGUUUCAAAACAGCUAGGCGUUGACGGAUGCCUAUCAAUUUCUCCAAGAUUGGCUGUUCUUCCACGGGGACAGGCUCAGCUGGCUCAUAAGACAUCAUUAAGUCUGUAUUUCUUUUGAACUAAUAUUGAAAACACUUAAACGAAUGAUACAGACAAUAUUCAAAUACAAUAUUUGUUGGUGGGUGGUUGGAAAAGGAUAACUGCACGGUAUGAUAAACAUGGAAAUACUUAAAUGGUUAACGAGAAACCUCGAAAUAGAAAAGCUGGUGUCAUUAACGUAGAAAAUUUUGAAUAAUUUCAAAAAACAACCAUAAAAUUUAGUUUGUUAACGUUCAUUUCUUUCUUUUGAAUGAAGGAUGCAUGCCAUGUGUUUUAGAGUUUUCUGCCCAACGGUAAAUAACUAACAGAUAAUUUUUCAACCUUUUAGUAAAUAAAUGCUAUAUUUAAACAUAAUUUAUAACAAUCACUUUUUGAUCACAUAAUUUAUUACUGAGCAAUGUUCAACCGGAACCACUAAAUGCAGGAAAAAAAAUGAAAUUUGUCAAAUCAAAAUUUAUAAAAUUCUAGGAUUAUUUCAUUUCUACUGACAACUUAUAUAUUGAAUAGUGUAAAAUUCUUGUUUACAUAUACUAAGUUAGCAAUGAGAACACACCCUCAAAACUUCUUUCAAAUCGCCUUUCAA
rnacentral:lncRNA from 1 species